rnacentral:rRNA from 1 species
GAUGAACGCUGGCGGCGUGCCUAAUACAUGCAAGUCGAGCGAACAGACGAGGAGCUUGCUCCUCUGACGUUAGCGGCGGACGGGUGAGUAACACGUGGAUAACCUACCUAUAAGACUGGGAUAACUUCGGGAAACCGGAGCUAAUACCGUAUAACAUGUUGAACCGCAUGGUUCAACAGUGAAAGACGGUCUUGCUGUCACUUAUAGAUGGAUCCGCGCCGCAUUAGCUAGUUGGUAAGGUAACGGCUUACCAAGGCAACGAUGCGUAGCCGACCUGAGAGGAUGAUCGGCCACACUGGAACUGAGACACGGUCCAGACUCCUACGGGAGGCAGCAGUAGGGAAUCUUCCGCAAUGGGCGAAAGCCUGACGGAGCAACGCCGCGUGAGUGAAGAAGGUCUUCGGAUCGUAAAACUCUGUUAUUAGGGAAGAACAAAUGUGUAAGUAACUAUGCACGUCUUGACGGUACCUAAUCAGAAAGCCACGGCUAACUACGUG